rnacentral:misc_RNA from 1 species
GGGUUGACCCAAAGCUUGCUUUUUGAUGAAGAAACAGCUUUUCUAUCUGGGUAUUGAGAAGUAUUGGGAUUUGAGACCUGGGAUUGUUCUUGAAGUGACACUUGGGUCGUUCUAAUACAAGAUUUGGAGUGAAGUUUAAGGGGAAAAGUGAAUUUUUGAGGAGAAUUGAAGUUGCAGAAGAUAUUGGAUUCAUAGAGAGGAGAAAGUGUAGAGCUUGGAGCAGACGCCAUUUUCUUGGAGCAAAGCUUUAGC